rnacentral:rRNA from 1 species
UACAGAGGAGCCAAGCGUUGUCCGGAUUGACUGGGCGUAAAGCGCACGCAGGCGGAUGCGCGCGUGGGGUGUGAAAUCUGGCCGCUUAACGGCCAGGCGCCAUCCCAUACGGCGCGUCUGGAGUGAUGCAGAGGUCGGUGGAAUUGCCGGUGUAGUGGUGAAAUGCGUAGAGAUCCGGAAGAACACCGGUGGCGAAGGCGGCCUGCUGGGCAGUGGCUGACACUGAGGCGCGACAGCGUGGGGAGCAAACAGG